UACGUAGGGUGCGGGCGUUGUCCGGAAUUAUUGGGCGUAAAGAGCUCGUAGGCGGUGUGUCACGUCGGCCGUGAAAACCUGCAGCUUAACUGUGGGCGUGCGGUCGAUACGGGCAUCACUGGAGUUCGGCAGGGGAGACUGGAAUUCCUGGUGUAGCGGUGAAAUGCGCAGAUAUCAGGAGGAACACCGGUGGCGAAGGCGGGUCUCUGGGCCGAUACUGACGCUGAGGAGCGAAAGCGUGGGGAGCGAACAGG
rnacentral:rRNA from 1 species